rnacentral:rRNA from 1 species
CGAAUAGAGCUGACGUAAUUUGCUUGUGUUCAGCUGUUGAUUGGCUUGUCCGCUGGCUGGUGCUGGUUUGAGGAUUUCGGUCUUUGAGUCGUGUGCUGGCUGGUUGGUAUAGGUCUUUUGGCGGUGCAUUCACGAGCAUGUAUGCGUUGAGACGCAUGCGGUGGACGCUUUGACGAGUGUGGACGAGGAUACUUGAUUUUGGUAUAACCGGUCGUGCUCUGAAGGUGUUUCGUCGUGUGUGUAAAAUGAUUGGCUUGGUUGCCGUAGUAGUUGUGUUUUUGGAUUAUGGCGGUCGCUUGCGACACGUGUAGUUUGAGGAUAUGAUUGCUGCUGUGCCUGUCGGUUACUUUCAAUGUAAAAGUCGGUCAUCUAUUCGACCCGUCUUGAAACACGGACCAAGGAGUUUAACGUAUACGCAAGUGAUUGGGUGUUAAAACCUAAACGCGCAUUGAAAGAGAAUCCGUCUUCGAGAUGGUGAUAUGCGAUCCGUUGUACUUCGGUGCAGCGGCGUAGCAUAGCCCCAUUCCUGUUGCUUGCAACGGAGUGGAGGUAGAGCGUAUACGUUGAGACCCGAAAGAUGGUGAACUAUGCCUGAGCAGGACGAAGCUAGAGGAAACUCUGGUGGAAGUCCGAAUCGGUUCUGACGUGCAAAUCGAUCGUCUGACUUGGGUAUAGGGGCGAAAGACUAAUCGAACCAUCUAGUAGUGG